rnacentral:rRNA from 1 species
UACGGAGGGGGCUAGCGUUGUUCGGAAUUACUGGGCGUAAAGCGCGCGUAGGCGGACCUGCAAGUCGGGGGUGAAAGCCCGAGGCUCAACCUCGGAACUGCCUUCGAUACUGAGGGUCUCGAGUCCGGGAGAGGUGAGUGGAAUUCCUAGUGUAGUGGUGAAAUUCGUAGAUAUUAGGAAGAACACCAGUGGCGAAGGCGGCUCACGGGCCCGGUACUGACGCUGAGGCGCGAAAGCGUGGGGAGCAAACAGG